AACGAACGCUGGCGGCGUGGAUAAGACAUGCAAGUCGAACGGGAUUUAUUUUUGUAGCAAUACAGAAAUAAUUCAGUGGCGAACGGGUGCGUAACACGUGGGCAAUCUGCCGAAAAGUGGGGGAUAGCUCGCCGAAAGGCGAAUUAAUACCGCAUGUGGUGAGGGACGACAUCUUCCUGAAUCCAAAGCCGGGGCAACCUGGCGCUUUUUGAGGAGCCCGCGGCCUAUCAGCUAGUUGGUGAGGUAACGGCCCACCAAGGCUAUGACGGGUAGCUGGUCUGAGAGGACGACCAGUCACACUGGAACUGAGACACGGUCCAGACACCUACGGGUGGCAGCAGUCGAGAAUUUUUCUCAAU
rnacentral:rRNA from 1 species